rnacentral:misc_RNA from 1 species
AACUUUCAGCAACGGAUCUCUUGGCUCUCGCAUCGAUGAAGAUCGCAGCGAAAUGCGAUAAGUAAUGUGAAUUGCAGAAUUCAGUGAAUCAUCGAAUCUUUGAACGCACCUUGCGCUCCUUGGUAUUCCGAGGAGCAUGCCUGGUUGAGUGUCAUGAAAUUCUCAACUGUCUCAGGCUUUGUGGCUUGUGGGCGAAGUUGGACUGGGAGGUGUGCUGGAGCAUGAAUGGGCUUUGUGCCCUGCCGUCCUUGUCGGCUCCUCUUGAAUGUAUGAGCUUUCCAAUCCUUGGCAAAGUAUCGUCAAUGUGAUAAUUAUCUGCAUUGUCUGAGAAAGCCUAACAGGGGAAACCUUUGAUCACGUCGGGGUGACCCGCGUCUGAAAAAUUCGACCUCAAAUCAGGUAGGACUACCCGCUGAACUUAAGCAUAUCAAUAAGCGGAGGCU